ACUUAAAAUAAUAAUAAUAAAAUAAAGUGGGAAUGAUACAGAGGAGAUUAGCCUGGUCCCUGCGUAAGAAUGACAUGCAAACCUAUGAAGCAUUCCAAUUUUUU
ensembl:snRNA U6 U6 spliceosomal RNA